GACGAACGCUGGCGGCGUGCCUAACACAUGCAAGUCGAGCGAAUGAAGUUCCUUCGGGAACGGAUUUAGCGGCGGACGGGUGAGUAACACGUGGGCAACCUGCCUCAUAGAGGGGAAUAGCCUUCCGAAAGGGAGAUUAAUACCGCAUAAGAUUGUAGUACCGCAUGGUACAGCAAUUAAAGGAGCAAUCCGCUAUGAGAUGGGCCCGCGGCGCAUUAGCUAGUUGGUGAGGUAACGGCUCACCAAGGCGACGAUGCGUAGCCGACCUGAGAGGGUGAUCGGCCACAUUGGGACUGAGACACGGCCCAGACUCCUACGGGAGGCAGCAGUGGGGAAUAUUGCACAAUGGGGGAAACCCUGAUGCAGCAACGCCGCGUGAGUGAUGACGGCCUCGGUUGUAAGCUCUGUCUUCAGGGACGAGUAAUGACGGUACCUGAGGAGGAAGCCAACGGCUAACUAACGUGCCAGCAGCCGCGGUAAACCUGUAGUCGU
rnacentral:rRNA from 1 species